rnacentral:rRNA from 1 species
GUCGAGAAUUUUUCACAAUGGGCGAAAGCCUGAUGGAGCGACGCCGCGUGGGGGAUGAAUGGCUUCGGCCCGUAAACCCCUGUCAUUUGCGAACAAUGUCCCGGCGCUAACACCGACGGGAUUGAUAGUAGCGAAAGAGGAAGGGACGGCUAACUCUGUGCCAGCAGCCGCGGUAAUACAGAGGUCCCAAGCGUUGUUCGGAUUCACUGGGCGUAAAGGGUGCGUAGGUGGUCGGGUAAGUCUGAUGUGAAAUCCCGGAGCUUAACUCCGGAACGGCAUUGGAUACUAUCCGGCUGGAGGGUUGGAGGGGGGACUGGAAUUCUCGGUGUAGCAGUGAAAUGCGUAGAUAUCGAGAGGAACACCGGUGGCGAAGGCGAGUCCCUGGACAACUCCUGACACUGAGGCACGAAAGCUAGGGGAGCAAACAGGAUUAGAUACCCGGGUAGUCC